ACGGCCGUACCAUGCUGAAUAUACCGGUUCUCGUUAGAUCACCGAAGUCAAGCAUCAAUUUCAGUACUUUGGGUGACCACCUGGAAACACCGCGUGCCGUUG